CUACCUGUCUGUGGCUACCCGAGAUGGACAUACCUGUCUAUGGCUACCUGGGAUGGACAUACCUGUCUAUGGCUACCUGGGAUGGACCUACCUGGAUAAACUGAUCUGGGAUGGACCUACCUGUCUGUGGCUACCCGAGAUGGACAUACCUGUCUAUGGCUACCUGGGAUGGACCUACCUGGAUAAACUGAUCUGGGAUGGACCUACCUGUCUAUGGCUACCUGGGAUGGACCUACCUGGAUAAACUGAUCUGGGAUGGACCUACCUGUCUAUGGCUACCUGGGAUGGACCUACCUGGGAUGGACCUACCUGGGAUGGACCUACCCGAGAUGGACAUACCUGUCUAUGGCUACCCGAGAUGGACCUACCUGUCUAUGGCUACCUGGGAUGGACCUACCUGGAUAAACUGAUCUGGGAUGGACCUACCUGGGAUGGGAUUACAUGGCUCACCUCGUACCUACAUGGGGAAUAGACUGGCUAUGGUUUAUGGUCCUCUGCCCUGUAUGGAUUAUGGAGCUGUAACUACAGUAUGGAGUAAAAGGUGUGGCUAUACCUUUCUGAGAUAUGGACUUGGCUGGUUGGUUACCUGGUGGGCUAUUCUGUGUCAUGGAACUGUUACAUGGAGCCCAGGAAAUGCAUCUGGAACAAAGUGUUUCACAAUAAGAGUUCAGGUCACGCACUGACCAAUAUGGAAACAACGGAACCUUGGGAUCUGUUAAACCCAUAUCUCUAGAAGUGACAGUUUGAAACAGGACCUUGGGAUCUGUUAAACCCAUAUCUCUAGAAGUGACAUUUGAAACAGGACCUUGGGAUCUGUUAAACCCAUAUCUCUAGAAGUGACAGUUUGAAACAGGACCUUGGGAUCUGUUAAACCCAUAUCUCUAGAAGUGACAGUUUGAAACUGAACCUUGUCCACCAUCACGCAGAGACACACAGUACUGUUGUAGCUUACAUGACACGAGGUUCACUCAAUACUCGUGAACAACCGGUGCAGAUAUCACGGGGACUUUUAUUUUGGAAAAAGCCCUCUGGGAGAUGUAGUCAGUGGACCUGCUCUGACGUUAUCUCCGCUGUGUCUGGAACGAGGCUGGGCUCUACCUAUGGUAACCAUGGAUACGAACACACAACUACGUAGUGUUGCUCCAACAACGCUGCGGUAUUUUUAAAGUACCACACCAGUAUUAUCUAUACCCUGCCUGUGUCUAUUUCUAUGGUCAUAUAUCUGCCGGUCAGUCUGUCUAUAUCUGUGCCAUGAUCUCACAGUAUUGCAUUGUUUUAUUAUUGUUUAUUAUUCCUGCUUUUUAAAGUUGUUUUUUUACUACAUACAGUACCUCUGUCUGGCUUAACUGGCCAAUCAGAGUUUGUUGUGUCUUUUGACUGGCCAAUCAGAGUUUGUUGUGUCUUUUGACUGGCCAAUCAGAGUUGGUUGUGUCUUUUGACUGGCCAAUCAGAGUUGGUUGUGUCUUUUGACUGGCCAAUCAGAGUUGGUUGUGGUUGUGUUGUUGCCAUGGUGUUGCCAAUAACUGCCAUUUUUAAAACCAGGGCCAUGUUCAGUAGGAAAAGGUUUUGGAACAUUCUAGAUAAAAAUUCUAUGAAUAGAGCUGCUGUGAUUUCAGUAUUUUACAUGUCAGAGAGGCAUGUUUGUUUGAUAUUGAACAAAAAUAUAAAUACACCAUGUAAAGUGUUGGUCCCAUGUUUCAUGAGCUGAAAUAAAACAGAAAUGUUCCAU
ensembl:lncRNA